rnacentral:rRNA from 1 species
AUGGCAGAAAGUGUACUUCUUCUAGUCAUUGAAAAGAUCGGAGUCGCCUUGGCAAAUGGAGCAGCACAUCAGGCUAGUGCUCAGUUUUCCAAGUAUGCGACAUGACUAAUGGAACUACAUGGCAGCAUGGGUCGCCUUGUUAGGAAGCUUCGUAUAGUGCAUGAUGUUCUAUGCCAAAUGGACAUUCAAAACCGCCAUAAUCAAGUGUAUGAGGGCUGGUUGGAUGAGGUGCGGAAGGUAGCACAUGCGACAAAGGAUAUGGUUGAUGAGUACAUGUAUCAAGUUGGUCGGGAACAUGAUAUUCGGUAUUGUUUUUACCUAAAGAAAGGGCUCAGAAAACCAAGAUCUCUGUUUUUCUUGAAUCAAAUAUCUUCCAAUGUGAAGGAUAUGAGAAAGAUCUUCCACACCUAUUAG